ACUUACACCUCCUCCCCUCGCCAGGGCACUACGAGCCAAAACUUAAAACCCAAAGGACUUGACGGUGCCCCAUAUCCACCUAGAGGAGCCUGUCCUAUAAUCGAUGAUCCCCGUUUUACCUCACCACUUCUAGCCUACCAGCCUGUAUACCUCCGUCGUCAGCUCACCGCAUGAGCGCACUAUAGUGAGCACAACGGCACCCGCCAAAACGUCAGGUCAAGGUGCAGCAAAUGAAGCGGCCAGAGAUGGGCUACAUUUUCUGCUACAGAAAAUUACGGAAGACUACUUUGAAACCCCGUCAGAAGGCGGAUUUAGCAGUAAAGCAGAAACCAGAAAGUUCUCUUUAAUAAGGCACAGGGGC
rnacentral:rRNA from 1 species